GCACAAGCGGUGGAGCAUGUGGUUUAAUUCGAAGCAACGCGAAGAACCUUACCAGGUCUUGACAUCCCGAUGCUAUUCUAGAGAUAGAAAGUUACUUCGGUACAUCGGUGACAGGUGGUGCAUGGUUGUCGUCAGCUCGUGUCGUGAGAUGUUCGGUUAAGUCCGCUAACGAGCGCAACCCUCGUCGUAUGUUAUAUGUGUCAUACGAGACUGCCGGUAAAAAGCCGGAGGAAGGUGAGGAUGAUGUCAAGUCAGCAUGACCUUUAUAUCCAGGGCUACACACACGCUACAAUGGUCUGUACAAUGGGUAGCCAAGCCGCGAGGCGGAGCCAAUCCUGAAAGCAGGCCUCAGUUCAGAUUGCAGUCUGCAACUCGACUGCAUGAAGCCGGAGUUGCUAGUAACCGCAGGUCAGCAAUACUGCGGUGAAUACGUUCCCGGGUCUU
rnacentral:rRNA from 1 species